UACGGAGGGUGCAAGCGUUAUCCGGAUUCACUGGGUUUAAAGGGUGCGUAGGCGGGUAAGUAAGUCCGUGGUGAAAUCUCUGAGCUUAACUCAGAAACUGCCGUGGAUACUAUUUGCCUUGAAUAUUGUGGAGGUGAGCGGAAUAUGUCAUGUAGCGGUGAAAAUGCUUAGAUAUGACAUAGAACACCAAAUUUGCGAAGGCAGCUCACUACACAAUCAUUUGACGCUGAGGCACGAAAAGCGUGGGGGAUCAAAACAGG
rnacentral:rRNA from 1 species